rnacentral:tRNA from 1 species
GCAGGAGUGGCGGAAUGGAAGACGCGGCUGAUUCAGGGUCAGUAUUUUGGGAGUUCGACUCUCCCUUCCUGUA